rnacentral:misc_RNA from 1 species
GGGAUUUACGUGUUACAGGGAAGAAAAUAUUGAACGCCAGAGUAGAAUAUACUGUCGGACAAAGUGAAACUGUCUAUUAAACCGGCUCAAUACUGCGCUUCCACCUAGCUGUUGUAUCUAUAACAACAAAAAUAUUUUUAAUAAUAUCAAAAAAGAAAAAAUCAAAGGGAAGCCUGAUAAAUGUACGAACAAGAUUAAAAGAACUAAACCUGAUAAGGCAGAGUAAUAAAAAAGACGAGAUAAGAUAAAUGAAUAAAAAA